AUCGAGGAAGGAAGGAAGGAAGAAUCAGAAUCUCCCCCCACCAACCAACCAAAAAUACAUAAUUCUCUCAAUUCUCCCUCGCGACGGACGGCCAGACGUACGUCGGAGGCAGAUAUCGAUUUAUCCAUAACCACCGUAACCAAAGCCCAAAGGUGAGUCAGAGGUUAUAUGGAUUAUAAGUAUAGACCACAAUUACAAGAGGUUUCACUAGAGCAUGCGAGGGAAUCGCUCAUUGCCAUCUCCCACAGUCAGCCAGAAAGGUUUUCACUAAUCAAUGAACUUGAAACGACAAACACUGAAGACAUCAUUGUGGCUGCUGCUGCUGCCGAGUCUAAAGUGGAGACACUUAUCGAUGAUGAUGACGAUGAUCUGAGAUAUAAACUCAUGUCUAUUGCUACUACUUAUGUUCCAUCAAUGGUGGUGGAUUGGGCGGGCGGGUAACAACUACAAGUGCAAUUUCUAUGACGCCGAGGUUUAAUCCCUUCUGUCAUUACAACUUUUCAAAGAUAUUAGCCUUAUAUGUCUUCAAUAUCCAAAGUAUUACAUAGUGACUGCAGACCUUUAUUUAGUUCAUACUAGUUAUUGAUAGAUGUCAUAUACAUACAAUUGAAUUAUUUUUACGAUGAAGAUCAAAACCACGUUUAAUGAUA